GUUCGGUCCAAAACAAGCCGAGAGAUUAAAAGGAAAGAAAAGUCUUCACCCUAAAAAAUAAAAAAAGAAGCCACGCUCUCUCUCUUCUCUAGCGAAACGACUCCUCUUCAGAUCUAGAUCUAGCAGUCUUUAUUCAUCUUCUCGGCUUUCUCCGUUCUCUCGGAUGAUUUUCAAGUUUCUCGAUUUGCUAUCUUCUCCGACUGGAUGCGAGAGAAAUCUGAAAGCCAUCUGGCAAUACAAACCAUUGACGUUCUCUCUCCCAUCGGUGAAGCACCAUGGUAGAUCCAUUAUCAUGUUGGGCUCUUCAGCUGUAGGUUUGGUUGUUCCGCUGACCUGCUCUCAGCCAAAGCAUCGUUCCCGUUGAAGAUCGAAGCUUUUUCAGGCAGUCACUCCCUCUCUUUGGAGAACAAGCUUAUGUAGUUAUGUAUAUGCCAAAUGAUCGUACUUCUACCACAAAGUUGGAUAUAUAUGGAGUUUCAGUGAUAUUGCAGGUCCUUGAUCCCUACUCGUUAGUGAUGAAGUUCAUAUAUAGGUACAUGGAAUUUAUCAUUAGUGGUCUUUCAUGUGGAUCCAUAUAUGAAUGACUUAAAGGCAAGAUGAAGGAUGAGAACAGAAAUGACAGGAAUCCUGGAAAUGGUAACACUCUUCUAGUGCAGGUAAUUGUUCCCUGUCAUGUUUCUUGAAACUGUCUCAAAGGUAGUGGAUGAAGAUAUUGGAGAUGAUGAAACCAAGUUUUUGUGCCUCUACUGCCAUCUAAGAUCACAUAGGAUAUCAACCUGUAAUUAGGAUUUAUUUAGUUUGUUUUAAUUGUAGUUUAGUUCCACUGUUAUGAGUAACAGAUCAGUAAAUGUCCUCUUUUCUUUUCAAGGACAGUUUUUGUUCAUACCAAGACUUUUUUUUUUGUGUUCUGUAAUAGUUACAAUGACGUUUUUUUUAGAUUUCAGGACCUUUUUUCAGCGUCCUUGUAUAUAUAAGAUGACACUUUUUUCAGAUUUAA